UCUCAAAUCAGGUAGGACUACCCGCUGAACUUAAGCAUAUCAAUAAGCGGAGGAAAAGAAACUAACAAGGAUUCCCCUAGUAACGGCGAGUGAAGCGGGAAGAGCUCAAAUUUAAAAUCUGACGGUGUAUUCCGUCCGAGUUGUAGCCUAGAGAAGCAUCAUCCGCGCUGGACCAUGUACAAGUCUCUUGGAACAGAGCGUCAUAGAGGGUGAGAAUCCCGUCCUUGACAUGGACUCCCAGUGCUUUGUGUUGUGCUCUCGACGAGUCGAGUUGUUUGGGAAUGCAGCUCAAAAUGGGUGGUAAAUUCCAUCUAAAGCUAAAUAUUGGCGAGAGACCGAUAGCGAACAAGUACCGUGAGGGAAAGAUGAAAAGCACUUUGGAGAGAGAGUUAAACAGUACGUGAAAUUGUUGAAAUGGAAACGCUUGAAGUCAGUCGCGUUCUCUGGGAUUCAGCCUUGCUUCUGCUUGGUGCAUUUCCUAGUCUACGGGCCAGCAUGAAUCUUGACCGGUGGAAAAGGGUUUGGGGAAUGUGGCACCUCCGGGUGUGUUAUAGCCCCUUGCUGUAUACACCGGUUGGGAUUGAGGGUUUCAGUGCACGCUUCGGUUGUGCUUUGAUGCUGGCGUAAU
rnacentral:rRNA from 1 species